AGUAGCUCAAUUGGUAGAGCAGCAAACUGUUAAUUUGCCUGUUGCGGGUUCGAGUCCCGCCUAUUCGCGUCUCCA
rnacentral:tRNA from 1 species